ensembl:snRNA U6 U6 spliceosomal RNA
GUGCUCGCUUCGGCAGCACAUACACUAAAAUUGGAAUGAUGUGGAGAAGAUUAGCACGGCCCCUGUGCAAGAAUGACAUGCAAAUUCAUGAAGCGUUCUAUGUAAAA